rnacentral:rRNA from 1 species
AUUGAACGCUGGCGGCAUGCCUUACACAUGCAAGUCGAACGGCAGCAUAGGAGCUUGCUCCUGAUGGCGAGUGGCGAACGGGUGAGUAAUAUAUCGGAACGUGCCCUAGAGUGGGGGAUAACUAGUCGAAAGAUUAGCUAAUACCGCAUACGAUCUACGGAUGAAAGUGGGGGAUCGCAAGACCUCAUGCUCCUGGAGCGGCCGAUAUCUGAUUAGCUAGUUGGCGGGGUAAAAGCCUACCAAGGCGACGAUCAGUAGCUGGUCUGAGAGGACGACCAGCCACACUGGGACUGAGACACGGCCCAGACUCCUACGGGAGGCAGCAGUGGGGAAUUUUGGACAAUGGGGGCAACCCUGAUCCAGCAAUGCCGCGUGAGUGAAGAAGGCCUUCGGGUUGUAAAGCUCUUUUGUCAGGGAAGAAACGGUUCUGGAUAAUACCCAGAGCUAAUGACGGUACCUGAAGAAUAAGCACCGGCUAACUACGUGCCAGCAGCCGCAGUAA